CAGGCCUAACACAUGCAAGUCGAACGAGAGCGACCGGUGCUUGCACUGGUCAAUCUAGUGGCGAACGGGUGAGUAACACGUGGGUAACCUGCCCAUCAGAGGGGGAUAACAUUCGGAAACGGAUGCUAAAACCGCACAGGUCUUCGAACCGCAUGGUUUGAAGAGGAAAAGAGGCGCAAGCUUCUGCUGAUGGAUGGACCCGCGGUGCAUUAGCUAGUUGGUGAGGUAACGGCUCACCAAGGCCGUGAUGCAUAGCCGACCUGAGAGGGUGAUCGGCCACAUUGGGACUGAGACACGGCCAAACUCCUACGGGAGGCAGCAGUAGGGAAUCUUCCGCAAUGGACGCAAGUCUGACGGGGCAACGCCGCGUGAGUGAAGAAGGUUUUCGGAUCGUAAAACUCUGUUGUUAGAGAAGAACAAGUGCUAGAGUAACUGUUAGCGCCUUGACGGUAUCUAACCAGAAAGCCACGGCUAACUACGUGCCAGCAGCCGCGGUAAUACGUAGGUGGCAAGCGUUGUCCGGAUUUAUUGGGCGUAAAGCGAGCGCAGGCGGUUCCUUAAGUCUGAUGUGAAAGCCCCCGGCUCAACCGGGGAGGGUCAUUGGAAACUGGGGAACUUGAGUGCAGAAGAGGAGAGUGGAAUUCCAUGUGUAGCGGUGAAAUGCGUAGAUAUAUGGAGGAACACCAGUGGCGAAGGCGACUCUCUGGUCUGUAACUGACGCUGAGGCUCGAAAGCGUGGGUAGCAAACAG
rnacentral:rRNA from 1 species